GAUGAACGCUGGCGGCGUGCUUAACACAUGCAAGUCGAACGGAAAGGCUCCUGCUUGCAGGGGUACUCGAGUGGCGAACGGGUGAGUAACACGUGGGUGAUCUGCCCUGCACUUCGGGAUAAGCCUGGGAAACUGGGUCUAAUACCGGAUAGGACGAUGGUUUGGAUGCCAUUGUGGAAAGUUUUUCGGUGUGGGAUGAGCUCGCGGGCUAUCUGCUUGUUGGUGGGGUAAUGGCCUACCAAGGCGUCGACGGGUAGCCGGCCUGAGAGGGUGGACGGCCACAAUGGGACUGAGUGACGGCCCAGACUGCUACGGGAGGCAGUGGUGGGGAGUAUUGCGCAAUAGGCGCAAGCCUGAUGCAGCGGCGCCGCGUGGGGGAUGACGGCCUUCGGGUUGUAAACUCCUUUCGCUAGGGACGAGGCGUUUUGUGACGGUACCUGGAGAGGAAGCACCGGCUAACUACGUG
rnacentral:rRNA from 1 species